rnacentral:misc_RNA from 1 species
GAUGAAGAACGUAGCGAAAUGCGAUAAGUAGUGUGAAUUGCAGAAUUCAGUGAAUCAUCGAAUCUUUGAACGCACAUUGCGCCCUUUGGUAUUCCUUAGGGCAUGCCUGUUCGAGCGUCAUUUGAAACCUCAAGCUCAGCUUGGUGUUGGGUGUCUGUCCCCGCCUCACCGCGGGGACUCGCCUCAAAAUCAUUGGCGGCCGGUACGUUGGCUUCGAGCGCAGCAGAAACGCGAACUCGAGGCCCGGCGGAUCGGCGACCAGAAGUCACUUCUUCACAGUUUGACGUCGGAUCAGGUAGGGAUACCCGCUGAACUUAAGCAUAUCAAUAAGCGGAGGA